rnacentral:lncRNA from 1 species
GGGAGCGGGGUAGGGCGGCGGCGAGAACGGGCGCCUCGCUGACCGGGGAGAAGAGGCCUCCUGCCAAGGGGCCCUAGUGUAGCCGGAGUGAGAGGAGGGGCCCCGGACGUAGCCUGCUCUUCCCCGGUGUGGAGCCAUUACGGGGGGACAUUCCUCCUGCGGCGGGGGGAGGGAGCCCCCUUUCUUUUCUUUGAGAGGUCAGAAUCCGCAGUCCGCCCUUCGCCUUUAAAUAAAAGCCUGCCGGCUCGAGAUCGGCGUCGCGAUGGAGUGCCCGUGGACUUCUACGCUUGCGGAACUCCGAGUGGACGGAUAGCGGCUUAUGAAUUUUGCUUUUUAGAGGGUACACAACCCUUUCUCUAGGGUGGCGUGCAUCUUCUGCAAACUUGUUAUUGCCAAUACGCUAAUAGUCGCUUUCAGCACACAACAGGUAAUACAUUCUAAACGCCUCGUGUCAAAAUAAGGAGAGUCCUUAUUUGUGCACCGUGGGGCACAGUUAAGGAGCAGGAAGAAGACAAAGGAGGCCGUUAUUUAUGUGCCGUCCUAUUAUCAAAACUUUCCGUGGUGGGGCAGGGUGCGUGGCUAUUGGCCUCUGCUGAAUGGACUUUCAGAGUGAUUGAGAAAAUGAUGCAUCCUGUUGCCAGCA